AUUACCUCCAGUGAAAUCCAGCAUCUCACAGAAGCAAAAAACACAAGGGCAGGCAGUCCUAUAAGACAACGGCAGGCAGUCCUACAAGAGGAUCACAAGCCAUUCAUUUUGACGAUAACAUUAUCGCCUCCGAAAUACGUCUCACAGAAGCCUACAAGAUGAGGGCAGGCAGUCAGUCCGACAAGACAAGGGCUAGCAGUCCAAAAAGAGAAUUAGAAGCCAUUCAUUUCAAAGCAUCCAGUGCUUUCAGAUAUCAGCAACAACCGACCAGGACUGGAUCCUCCAUAUGGGAAGGUCAUUAUCUAUUCAGUGGUGUGUCUAUCCGAGACGGGUUUUGUCUUCACCAAGGCUACGUUCUUCAUCUUUAUCAUUCCGACCAGAUGUUAAGUACCCUGAUUUACUCACUAGUGUAACAAACUUUUACGUUUACAUGUUUCAGCAUUUUGCCUCUCCUCUUCAUCCCCAUGAUGGCUAUUAGUAUUGCCUCUUAUAAUGUUAAGGGAUGCAACUCACCAUCUAAGUGGAGCCAGAUUUUUGGGAUAUUGAGGAGAGAUAAAGCGAACAUAGUUUUUUUUUACAAGAGACACAUUUUAAGAACCAACAUUUCCCUAAUCUAUCCUUUUCAUUUUACCCUAAUUGGUACCAUUGCGGUUCUCCUUCAUCAAACUCUAGAGGAGUUAGCAUAGGCUUUCAGGGUAAAGUGCCCUUUAUCCUGGAUGAUCAACUAUGUGACCCUGAUGGCCGUUUCAUAAUGAUUAAAGGCAAAAUAGGUCAACACCUUUAUACCUUUGUGAAUAUUUACACCCCAAAUAAUCGCCAAAUCCCAUGGCUGAAAUCAACUUUACUAAAAUUAGAAUCUUUUAGAGAUAGCGUUACGGUGGUAGGGGGAGACUUAAAUCUAGUCCUAAAUCCCCUCAUUGAUUCCUCCUCCCAAAAAUCUGCCCAGUCCCAAAAGGGCAUACGCUCUUUAUUGUGCAAUUUGGCCAAAGCCCACCUGAUUGAUGUUUGGCAUACUAUGUAUCCUGAUUCUAGAGACUACACCUUUUACUCCUCACUGCACUACUAAUUGUACCCCUGAGGUUACAUCACAAACGAUAUGGGAUGCCCAUAAAGCGUACAUAAGAGGCCAUUGUAUCAGCCUCGGGCUCACCUGAAGAAAGAAAGACAAAGACAAAGACAAAUAGAUUCCCUUCAUAAAAGAUAAGCUUCCUAGAAAGGGCCAAUAAAAUUCUACCAUCUGACGUCGACUAACAUCACGACCGCCCGCGGGACACGGGCACACCCACCAUCUUGGAUUAUUCCUUUCAAAGACUUUGCCUAUUACUGGACCCUAC